CGUGAACACCAUCUGGCUUUUACCCUCUUUGUCUAUUGUUUGUCUCUGGUGCACCAGGAUGUCCCCAUGUCUGUCAGUGUAUGUCUGUGGUUUUUGUUUCUCGUUGUCUAAAAGUUUUAUGUUUCAUGUUCAAAAGAAAAAAUGGUAAAAACUUUAUCUGCCGGUCGUGCGCACCUUGACUUGGUUUUAACUCGUUUCAAGAAGAGAACAAUGAAUAAAAAACAGUUUCAAUUGGCUUUUGGAGCCUACAUCUGUAGCUAGAAGCCUAAGUCUGCUGGACAAGCUCCCCAGGGGCUGGCUAA
rnacentral:lncRNA from 1 species